rnacentral:tRNA from 1 species
CGGGCUGUAGUAUACCGGUAGUACGCUUGCAUGGGGUGCAAGUAGACCGGGUCCAACUCCCGGCAGCCCGA